AUUGAACGCUGGCGGCAGGCUUAACACAUGCAAGUCGAGCGAGUGGCGGACGGGUGAGUAAUGUCUGGGAACCUGCCUGAUGGAGGGGGAUAACUACUGGAAACGGUAGCUAAUACCGCAUACCAUCAGAUGUUCCCAGAGGGGAUUAGCUAGUAGGUGGGGUAAUGGCUCACCAAGGCCACGAUCCAUAGCUGGUCUGAGAGGAUGACCAGCCACACUGGAACUGAGACACGGGCCAGACUCCUACGGGAGGCAGCAGUGGGGAAUAUUGGACAAUGGGCGAAAGCCUGAUGCAGCCAUGCCGCGUGUGUGAAGAAGGCCUUCGGGUUGUAAAGCACUUUUGGCGGGGAGGCGGUACCCGCAGAAGAAGCACCGGCUAACUACGUGCCAGCAGCCGCGGUAAUAC
rnacentral:rRNA from 1 species